rnacentral:lncRNA from 1 species
GGAAACCCCGUCUUUCACCAAAACUCAUUCUUUCACCCCACAAAAUGCUCCCCGCCGACCAAAAGAAAUCCUUGAAGAUUUCACUGCCGACUAUGCUUUCCGUCUCUGACAAUUUCGUUCUAUUAAACCACGAAUAAGCACAAGCUUUUCAGCUCAACUAUUACCCUUGCAUAAACCCUUAUCUCCUACCCUUUUUGCCGCCGCGGUCAUAAAUCUCUCCGGCUGGCGUCGUUCAACCGUUCCAGCAAAAGGCCUAUGUCUUCAAACCUUAUAUCUUACCCAAUCUGCGAGUGAAGAUUGUUAUUUUUAUCACAUCCUCUGCACAUUUGUUUAUCGGUAUGUGUUUUGGGUUUUUUUAUAAUCGUAAUGUUCUUCGGAGAAAUUAGAAAUACAGAGAUAUAUAGUUACCCAAUAAAUUCAUUAAUUUUAAGGAAUAAGAAAAAACACCAUCUUGGAGACGUUGAGAGAAAAAAAAUGUGAAAACUGGGUAAUAAAGUGCAGUUUAAUUACACACACAAAUCAUUACAGCAAGUUGUAAAUUAGUUUGAAGUCCAGUGUAUUCACUAUAUGUAAUUAAACUGGACUGUAAUUACACACAAUUCAGAUUUCAAAAAUCAUAUAUAGGAGUGGGCAAAAACCCGCCCAACCCGAUUAAACCGCCCGACCCAACCCAAACUGACCGGGUUGGGUCGGGAUUUUUUUUUUGUCCAUGGGUUACCUAAUCGGGUUGGGUUGUGGGUUGACUAGGAAAACCGCCCAACCUGACCCACCAACAUUUAAAAAAAAAAAAGAAAGAAAGAAAGAAACAGUAAAACACCACUUAAAAGUCCUAAAUGAGUAAGUUUCUCACUCACUACAAAAAAUCCCUAAAUUCUCUCGUUCCCUCUCUCUUGCUCCCGCUCAAAUUGUCGACAACAGCACCCUUUUUUUCGACUGCCCCAAGCCGGUCACUGAACGUCCAACUCUAGGAAAUCCACAAGAUGGGUAUAUUAUUUCACUCUUCAUUUUUCAGGUUUUGUAAGUCACAAUUUGAUGAAUUUUUUCCCAUCUUUUGAAGAGUACUAUGAUUCAGUGGUGAAAUCUUCUUAUUUGGCUUUGUUUGGUGAAAAUGUAUUCUCAGUUUUUGGGUUCAAGGCUAUGCCAGGGACUCGCAAACAAAGGAAGUCGAGUAAGGGCUUAAGGUUGCUUCUUCUGGUAAUGUGAGUCAUGUAUUUCUUAGUUUUUUUUUUUUUUUUUUAACAUUCACUUAAUUAUAUAUUUUGAUUUUUGUUGUUGCAUUUGAAAGAUAAUAUUGGG